UACGGAGGAUCCAAGCGUUAUCCGGAUUCAUUGGGUUUAAAGGGUGCGUAGGCGGAAUGAUAAGUCAGUGGUGAAAUCCUUCAGCUUAACUGGAGAACUGCCAUUGAUACUGUCAAUCUUGAGUACAUUUGAUGUGGGCGGAAUGUGUCAUGUAGCGGUGAAAUGCUUAGAUAUGACACAGAACACCGAUUGCGAAGGCAGCUCACAAAACUGUAACUGACGCUGAAGGCACGAAAGCGUGGGUAUCAAACAGG
rnacentral:rRNA from 1 species